rnacentral:rRNA from 1 species
AACGAACGCUGGCGGCGUGGAUAAGACAUGCAAGUCGAACGGGAUUUUUUUCUGUAGCAAUACAGGAAAAAGUCUAGUGGCGAACGGGUGCGUAACACGUGAGCAACCUGCCGUGAAGUGGGGGAUAGCUCGCCGAAAGGCGAAUUAAUACCGCAUGUGGCCAAGGAAGACAUCUUCCUGACGCCAAAGCCGGGGCAACCUGGCGCUUCUCGAGGGGCUCGCGGCCUAUCAGCUUGUUGGUGAGGUAACGGCUCACCAAGGCUAUGACGGGUAGCUGGUCUGAGAGGACGACCAGCCACACUGGAACUGAGACACGGUCCAGACACCUACGGGUGGCAGCAGUCGAGAAUUUUUCACAAUGGGGGAAACCCUGAUGGAGCGACGCCGCGUGGAGGAUGAAGGUUUUCGGAUUGUAAACUCCUGUCAUUAGAGAACAAGGCACACGGUUUAACUGGCCGUGUGUUGAUAGUAUCUGAAGAGGAAGAGACGGCUAACUCUGUGCCAGCAGCCGCGGUAA